GACAGAGGGUGCAAACGUUGUUCGGAAUUACUGGGCGUAAAGCGCGUGUAGGCGGCUACGUGUGUCGGGCGUGAAAGCCCACGGCUCAACCGGGGAACUGCGUCCGAUACUGGUGGGCUCGAAUCCGGGAGAGGGAUGUGGAAUUCCAGGUGUAGCGGUGAAAUGCGUAGAUAUCUGGAGGAACACUGGUGGCGAAGGCGGCAUCCUGGACCGGUAUUGACGCUGAUGCGCGAAAGCCAGGGGAGCAAACGGG
rnacentral:rRNA from 1 species